UACGUAGGGGGCAAGCGUUAUCCGGAUUUACUGGGUGUAAAGGGAGCGUAGGUGGAUUGUUAAGUCAGUUGUGAAAGUUUGCGGCUCAACCGUAAAAUUGCAGUUGAAACUGGCAGUCUUGAGUACAGUAGAGGUGGGCGGAAUUCGUGGUGUAGCGGUGAAAUGCUUAGAUAUCGCGCAGAACCCCGAUUGCGAAGGCAGCGUGCCGUGCCGCCACUGACGCUGAGGCACGAAAGUGCGGGGAUCGAACAGG
rnacentral:rRNA from 1 species